rnacentral:rRNA from 1 species
CAGUAGCCACGGUAAUACGGAGGGUGCAAGCGUUAUCCGGAUUUAUUGGGUUUAAAGGGUCCGUAGGCGGACUUAUAAGUCAGUGGUGAAAGCCUGUCGCUUAACGAUAGAACUGCCAUUGAUACUGUAAGUCUUGAGUAUAUUUGAGGUAGCUGGAAUAAGUAGUGUAGCGGUGAAAUGCAUAGAUAUUACUUAGAACACCAAUUGCGAAGGCAGGUUACCAAGAUAUAACUGACGCUGAGGGACGAAAGCGUGGGUAGCGAACAGGAUUAGAUACCCGAGUAGUCCCUGUCUCUUAUAA